UACGGAGGGGGCAAGCGUUGUCCGGACUUACUGGGCGUAAAGGGUGCGUAGGCGGCCUGCUGCGUCGGUGCUGAAAGCGCCCGGCUUAACCAGGCGAGGCGUGCCGAUACGAGCGGGCUGGAGCCUUGGCGAGGGUGGCGGAACUCCUGGUGUAGUGGUGAAAUGCGUAGAGAUCAGGAAGAACACCCGUGGCGCAAGCGGCCACCUGGCCAAGAGCUGACGCUGAGGCACGAGAGCGUGGGGAGCGAACCGG
rnacentral:rRNA from 1 species